UGAGUCAGCUGGAUGGUCGCUGCUGCUGAGCAAUCAAAACAGUAGAGGAAAGUCCGGGCUCCAACGGGCAAGAUGCCAGGUAACGCCUGGGGAAUGCAAGUUCACGGCCAGUGCCACAGAAAAAAUACCGCCAGUUAGCCGCAACCAGGUUAAUUGGUAAGGGUGAAAAGGUGCGGUAAGAGCGCACCGUAUCGGUGGUAACAUCGAUAGUCAAGGUAAACCCCAUCCGGAGCAAGACCAAAUAAAGGGACCAUGAUGUGGCCCACAUCAUCCCUGGGUAGGUCGCUUGAGCAAUGCGGUGACGCAUUGCCUAGAUGAAUGACCAUCGUGAGCUGCUCCACGGCAGCACAUACAGAACCCGGCUUACAGGCCGACUCCCUCC
rnacentral:RNase_P_RNA from 2 species